rnacentral:lncRNA from 1 species
UUAGCUUGGCAUUCAUAUACAGAAAAACUACACAAAAUUUAUACAAAAAAAUAGAAAACCAAAAAAAAGAUGAUGACUGUUCCAUUGGUGUAGAUAUAGUUUCAGCCAAGAUCUCUUGUUAUUUUGUUGUUUGGGUUUCAAUUUCGAGUUGUUUGAAUCAGAUUUCAAGGUUGUGGUAGUUGGUUGCUGUGUUUUAGUGGUUAGGGUGUAAUUUUGGGUUGGAUCUGCUGGUUCUUUCUUUAAAAACUGGGUUUGAGCAUCUCUGAGUCUUUUUCUUUCGUCUGGGCUGCUGUGUUUUCUGUUGCUGUUGGUUCUAGAUAAUUUAAAUCGGUGGUGACCUUCUUCCAUUCUCCCUGUUCUACUAAAUCGAGGUACACAUCUUGAGGCCUUGUUGAUGUAGCUUCAUCUUUGAAAUUGAAAUGAGAACGAGACUGUUAUUUGCUGUGAAAUGAAAUUUCUUAUUGUAUUUAAUUAAAUUUUCAAUGAGAUUCAGUAGUGGUUUGUUUGCUGUUUAUAUUGAAGUUACGGAUCGUAUGGACAUUGUAUGUAACUAGAACUGUUUUCUGCGAAAUGAAAUUUCUUGUUGUAUUUAAUUAAAUUUUUGUUGAGAUUCAGUAGUGGUUUGUUUGCUGUUUUUAUAUUGAAGUUAUGGAUCGUAUGGACAUUGUAUGUAACUAGAACUUUUUUGGAUUUUUUUUAAUUUGUUCAUUGGCAGUAGAAUCACUGAACUAGUUGGCUGUAAUAGGACAAAAACGAUUUUGGAAGCACAAGCCGUAUAUGUACUAAUCUAGAUUAGUACUAAAAUAUUAUUGUUCCUUAAUUAAAAUUAGGAAUCAAAUUGGGAUCACAUAGAAUUUGUUCUUAAGCCCUGCUAACUAGAACUUGUGGUAUUUUUUUUAUCUGGUAAUCCCGUAUUAAAUUCAAAUCAAUAAUCACCAUUACAUAGUUUAGUCAUUUCACACUGGACGCUUAGUAUCUGCUAGCAUAAUUGAUUCAAGUCAUUUGGAAUAAAUAUUUGCUUCUAUAUUGAUUUAUGUGUUAAUGAAAAUAGAAUCCCGGUGGGGAAUUAGCCAUCGAUAUCGGCUAGGAAAUUUGCAGCCUCCAUAUACGCUUGGUGUGGGGAAUUAGCCAUCGAGAUCAGCUUGGAAAUUUGCAGACUCGAUAUACGCUUGGGCUAUAAACCAUGGCCCAAAUUGUGGUUGGAAACUAAUUGAAGCCGUGAGAUUUCGAAUGAAAUAUUGUACAGUUUGGGUCUCAAGAUCUCUGAAAUAUAGACUCAGGUCCAAUGUUAUUUCUUACUUGGCUUGCCACAGUUCAAUGACAAACUAAAUAGGCCCUCGUUCUUUCUUACUAGAGACAAAACCAAAGAUAGAUAAUGUAAUUGCUUUUAGAUUGGCCCUUUUAAUAAAAUAACGAGAUGAGCCUCGCCAAACCAAACAAUUGCGGGGCCCUCGGUGUUGAUUAUAUAAAAUAUUUAGAACUCGGGAGGGCCGUUUAGCGAAAUUCAUGGCCUUCCCCAAACAUUAUUACGCUAGAACCCUUAAGCGCGACUUAAUUAAAUUACUUUCUUAAACUCGGGCGCGUAUUGAUGCGACCCAAAUCCAAAUCUCGACGAAAAUAAAACGUGUCGAAGAUCACGUGUACAUUGGUGGUGACGUGAUUAGAAAUACUUUUUCACGACGUCGCAAGUCUUUUAAAAUAAAUAUUGGUAAAAGAGGUUUAUAAAUAAAGCAUAAGUUAGCAUGUAUUAAAAUCAGAUAAAAUCAAAUAUAACAGUCAAGCGACCGUGCUAGAACCACGGAACCCGGGAAUGCCUAACACAUUCUCCCGGGUUAACAGAAUUCCUUACUCACAUUUCUUGUUCGCUGACUGUAACACAGAGUCAAUCUUUUUCUCGGUUCGGGAUUCAAAUUGGUGACUUGGGACACCAUAAAUAUCCCAAGUGGUGACUUCGAAUAAUUAAUAACCAAAUCCCGUUCCGAUUGUCCUUUAAUUGGAAAAACUCAUUUAAGCUCCCUUUGUGGGGGUGUAUAGCGAAAAAAAAAGGUGUGACAUCACUAUCUUGUAUCACCCCGGGAAGGCCAACAUGGUGGCUAAUGCUUUCAGUAGGAAGUCGGUUAGUAUGGGUAGCCUUUCAUAUAUUCCAAUCAGUGAGAGACCACUUGCGUUGGAUGUUUAGGCGUUGGCAAAUUAUCUCAUGAGGCUUGAUGUUUUUGAGCCCAGCCAUGUUCAAGCUUGUACAGUAGCUUGAUCUUCUUUGUUUGAGCAUAUUAGAGAUUGGCGGUAUCAUAAUCCUCGUUUUCUUGUCCUUAAGGACACACUGCAGCACGAAGAUGCCAAGCAGGUUACAGUUGGAGAUGAUGGAGUUCUUAGGAUGCAUGGUCGUGUUUUUGUGCCUAAUAUGGAUGGGCUUUCUGAGUUGAUUUUAGAGGAGGCCUAUAGUUCUCGACGUUCUAUUAAUCCGGGCACCGCUAAGAUCUAUCAAGACUUGCGGCAACAUUAUUAGUGGAGGAGGAUGAAGAAGGAUAUUAUUGCAUAUGUAGCUCGAUAUUUGAAUUAUCAAAAAGUAAAGUACAAGCAUCAAAGACUUGGUGGUUUUCUCCAAAAUAUUGAGAUUUCUUAGUGGAAGUGGGAGCGUAUCACUAUGGAUUUUGUUGUUGGAUUCCCACAGACUCAGAAGAAGUUCGAUGUUGUAUGGGUUAUUGUGGAUAGGCUGACCAAGUCAACACAUUUCAUUACUGUGGUAGUUCUUUAUUCUUCGGAGCAGUUGGUAGAUAUCUAUAUCUGUGAGAUCGUUCGUCUUCAUGGUGUGCCCGUGUCUAACAUUUAUGAUCGAGGUACGUAGUUUACCUCACAUUUCUUGAGGGCAAUACAUCAUGAUUUAUGUACGCGGGUUGAGUUGAGCAUAACAUUUCAUCCUCGGAGGGAUGGGAAAUCCGAGCAUACUAUUCAGAUUUUGGAGGAUAUGCUUGGCGCUUGUGUUAUUGACAUUGGUGGUUCUUGGGAUCAGUUUUUGCCGUUAGAAGAGUUGGCCAACAACAAAAACUAUCAGUCGAGCAUCCAGAUGGCUCCCUAUGAGGCAUUAUAUGGUAGACGGUGUCGAUCGCCAGUUUGGUAGUUUGAGCCGGGAAAGGCUUGGUUAUUUGGUUAGACUUAGUGCAUGAUGCCUUUGAUAGGUUAAGAUCAUUUAGGAUAGACUUCGUACAGAUCAGUCCAAGAAAAAGAGUUAUGCCAACCGUAAGGUUCGUGGUAUGGCAUUCAUGGCGGAGAGAGGGUGUUGCUCCGGGUGUCACCCAUGAAGGGUGUGAUGCGGUUUGGGAGAAGGGCAAGCUAAGCCCAAGGUUCAUCGAGCCUUUUGAGAUUCUUGGUCUAGUGGACAGGUGUCUUACUAACUUGCAUUGCAACCAUGCUUAUCAGCGGUACAUCCAGUAAUUCAUGUGUCUAUGCUUCGGAAGUAUCACGGCGAUCCGUCCCACGUGUUAGAUUUCAGCACUGUCCAGUUGGAUAAGGAUUUGACUUACGAGGAGGAGCCGGAAGCUAUUCUAGACCGGCAGGUUCAUCAGUUGAGAUUGAAGAGUUAUGCUUUGGUUCGUGCGUAGUAGAGAGGUCAGCCUGUUGAGGCAGCUACCUGGGAAUCUGAGUCCUAUAUGCGGAUCAGGAUCCCUAUCUUUUCCCUAGCUAUGGGACUUUUCUACGCCCAUUCAAGGACGAAAGGAUUGUUUUAAAGGUGGAAAAUGUGAUGAUCCAAAAGGUCAUCUUCUAUUUUAGAACUCGAUUCCGUGCUUCGAGGCCUUAAAACCUUAUUUUAUCUCUUCUCGGUCUGCGUGUGCAGUCCGGGCGUAUUUAAAGAAAGCCUUUAUGUGAAAAUUUAAGAAAUAAUAAUUUUUGACUUUAAAAUUUUAUUUUAAUUGACUUAAGUUGAUUUUAAAUUGACUUCGAUUAAUAUUCUAAGCAAGCAAACCCGGACCUGUAUUUUGACAGUCCUAAAGGGUCCAUAGUAAUAUAUGGGACCUAAGCGUAUACCCAAAAUCGAAUUCCGAGGUCCCUGCCCGAGAAAUGAUUUUUUGAUAAGAACUGUUAAACUGAAAUUUUAAUGGUUUUGAGAAAUUGGUUAAUGUUUGAUCUCGUUAGUAUCGGGCUCAUAUUUUUGUUCCAGAACUCGAUACAGGUUUAAUUUGAUAUUUAAGUCAUGUAUGUGAAAUUUGGCGAAAAAUGGAUUUCAUUUGACGUGAUUCGGAUAUUUGGUUGAGAAAAUAGAAGUUUUAGAACAAUCUUGAAAAUUUCAUGUUUUUGGCGUUAAAUUCGUAGUUCUACCCUUCUAGGCGUUAUUUUGGCAACUUGAUCGUGCAAACAAGUUUGUAUGUUGUUUUAAGACUUGCGUGCAUAUUUGGUAUGGAGCCCCGAGGGCUCGAGUGAGUUUUGGAUAGGCUACGUGGUGAUUUGGACUUAAGGAAUUUUGCUGGUAUGCUUUAGGUGUUCAACAUCGCAUUUGCGAAGAUAUUUCACAUUUGCAAUCAGAAGGGCUGGGAGGGAACCUUCGCAAUUGCGAAGCUCAUGAUCGCAAUAGCGAUAUGAACAAUCCACAUUUGCAAACAUUUGUUCGCCUUUGCGAUGCUAGAAGGCCAUUCUUCGGAUGAGAUUUUUCAUUCAUUCUCUCGUUUUUCAAAGCCUAAACCUCAAGAGGAGAUUUUUCGAAGACUAUUUCUUCCCCAAAUCAUAGGUAAAUGAUUCUUAACUUAUUUUUUUCAAUCUAUUAAAUCCUUUUAAAAGAUUUCAUCCUAGAAUCGAGGGUUUUUCAUGGUGGAAUUAGGUGUUUUUCGAUAGAACUUAGGGAUUUCAAAAUUUGGGGAUUUAACCUCAAAUUAAGGUCAGAUUUCAAAAUUAAUUAUAUAUUCGAGCUCGGUGGUGAAAGGGUAAUCCGAUUUUGGUUAGAAUUUUGGGUUUUGACCAAGUGGGUCCGGGGUUGGGUUUUGACUUUUUGGAAAAAAUGUUCAUGCAUUGGAAUUGAUUUCUUUAGCUUUAAUUGAUGUUAUUAAGUUAAUUAUGACUAGAUACGAGUGGAUUAGAACUGGAAACUAGAGGAAAACAAUAAUUGAUCUUUGAAUUGUCCGUUGGAUUGAGAUAAGUGUUUGAUCUAACUUUGACACGAGGGAUUAGGGAUCCCCGACUUAUGUGCUAUGUGAAAUUCCAUGUGCGCUAUAGGUGUGGUGACGAGAACCUAUGCAUCAUCAAAUUAUCUAUUUAGCAUGUUCCCAUCGCUGUUCCUAAAAUAUUUUUUUCCUAUCUUAACUACGACAUGCUUAUUGAUGCAUCAUAUCUAAUUGUUUCUUGAUAGAUGUUUUUUUCUUUAUUGAAGGUAUUAAUUGUCUGUAGUUCCAUUAUAUUACAUUAUUGGUGUUUCUUGAUACAUGUUGGUUGGUCUUAUUGUGUAGUAAUAAUCGAUGAGAUUAUUUGUAUAGAUUUCCGUUUGGUUUGAUUUGAGGUAUAAAUAUUCUGGAGGAUUUGAGCUAAACUAUGAAAUAUUUGUUCUUAUUGUGUGGUUGGUAUUGAUAUGGUAGGAUCUAGUUCCACGCUGCAACAGGAGGAAUAAUGGUGAAAUGUGAUUGUCUGAUGGGAUCGGGUUACGCGUCGCAACAAGGAGUAAUAAGGGGAUGUAGUAUUGGGUUUCAUGACGCAACAUGAGGAAUAAGGGUGAUAUAUAUUAGGAGAAUAAGGGUGGACUGGUGGGAGCGAGUUUCACACCACAAUAAGGAGUAAUAAGGGUGACUGUUCAUAUCGUUACUGAUUAUAUUGUGGGAUUGAGAUGCACGCCGCAUCAUUUGUCAUUUAUGUAUUCUUCUUUUGUUGUGAUUUACUCCUGUAGUAUUGCAACUCUCUUAAGGAUUGGUUAUAGCUGAGUAAUGGCAAGAUGUUUGGGUUCCGUAUAAUUGCAAGUUACUGUUCCAAUUCGUUCCGUAUUUCCUUUUUGCUCAAUUAUGUAUUGUUGGAGGUUAUAUUGUUUAUGUCCCGCCUUUAGCCUUGUCACUACCUUAUCGAGGUUAGGCUCGAGACUUACUAGUACAUGGGGUCAGUUUUUCUGAUAAUGCACUCUGCAGUUUUUGUGCAGGGAGCUGGUCGUGGCUGAUCGAGAGGUCAGUUGCAAGCAUUCACCUAGGAGACCCAAGGUAGUCUUGUAGGCAUCCACAGGUCCUGGCGUCC